UUCUUAUCCAGAGUGGCUGAGGGACUGGCCCUGCGAAGCCCGGCAACCUUCUUUACAUUAAGAAAGGUGCUAAUUCCUGCAGAAGGUAAUCUUCUGAAAGAUAAGAA
rnacentral:ncRNA from 2 species